CCUACGGGAGGCUGCAGUGAGGAAUAUUGGUCAAUGGACGAGAGUCUGAACCAGCCAAGUAGCGUGAAGGAUGACUGCCCUAUGGGUUGUAAACUUCUUUUAUAUGGGAAUAAAAUGUUCCACGUGUGGGAUUUUGUAUGUACCAUAUGAAUAAGGAUCGGCUAACUCCGUGCCAGCAGCCGCGGUAAUACGGAGGAUCCGAGCGUUAUCCGGAUUUAUUGGGGUUAAAGGGAGCGUAGGUGGAUUGUUAAGUCAGUUGUGAAAGUUUGCGGCUCAACCGUAAAAUUGCAGUUGAAACUGGCAGUCUUGAGUACAGUAGAGGUGGGCGGAAGUCGUGGUGUAGCGGUGAAAUGCUUAGAUAUCACGAAGAACUCCGAUUGCGAAGGCAGUUCACUGGACUGCAACUGACACUGAGGCGCGAAAGUGUGGGUAUCAAACAGGAUUAGAUACCCGAGUAGUC
rnacentral:rRNA from 1 species